AAAAAAAUGACCUUAUCGUUAACAAAAUAGUGAAUGCUUCCACAGUGCCUGUUUGUACAGAGUGCUUCACAAGCAUGAGCUCAUGUGAUUUCCUCAUCACUUGCUUUUCCAGCUGUAACAGGUUUGGAGAAGGCAGCUGUGGAUUCUCUUUAGCUUUUGUUUGAGAGGUUUCUCUCUUCCUGGUCAAGAAGCCACAUGACCCGAAUGUAACUAGGACGGUGUUGUUGAGCACUUGCUUGUGGACCCCUCUGGGGUCUGCAGAUGACUGGCAGGAUGCUGGAGCCUGCAGGUUUUGCUAGUUUCCUACUUGCAUGGAUCCUUUCUUGCCCCAGCUCUGGAUAGGUUCCCAGGCUUCAUUAGAAUUCAUGGACGGUUAUCUGCAAAGACUUCUGGACAAGAAGCACAUCCAGUACUUCCUAAAAGAGCAGAUGGGACCAUAGCAAGAAUCUCUUUGCUGCCCGACACAUGAGAAGCGGCCUGCCCAGCUGGCACUUGCUCUCCUACAACCAGCCUCAACAAGGCAUCGAGCUGCCUGCACCAGUGACAGCAAAGCAGCACCUGCCUGUCUGCAGCUCAGGGAUUUUCUCUCGCCCUCAGUCGUACAGCCUUAGCCUUCCAGGUGGUUUCUAGGGCUGGGUAACUAGUUCCUUCUGGGUUGGGGAAUGGGGAACAAGUGUAAAAGUUAUUUUGGCUCAAAUACAAGAUUGACAUUUGGUUUUAGAAAUAGGAAUAUUUGUUAUGCAGCUUCCAUUUUAUGAAAAUGAGGGAUAUGUUUUCCAUCCUCUUACCUAUUUAAUCAACAAAGGUCUUAAUGGAGAUGCAGUGGGCAGCUGGAUUCUUAAAAUGCCAGCUCCUUCCCAACAUCCUCUAAAUCAGACAUUUCUGUCUAAGCAUGCACCUGCAAAAAUGAUAUGUUGUUUUCCAGCUUCACUGCAAGAUCCUUGCCAGAAUUCAGGAUAGGUAUCUCAAGGAUAUCAUUACAAGUUCCAAAUAAUGCCAUCUUUCAUGCUUGAAAAGCCAUGACUGUCUGGUCCCUGCAGGGAGUAGCUGGUGCCUUCAGUGGGGAGGGGUUCGAGCGUGAGCAGCUCAGGAACGUUGUGGUCUACGGUUCAGCCACAUCCUUUGUGGUAAGAAACUGCAACAAAAUGUACUUUAUAUUUUUAUAAUCAGCUGGCUUUUAAAUUACAGCCAUGCUGAAUAAGAGCAGAGAAAACGUAUGAUUAGUAAUUUCCUUAUGCAGAAAGUAGAACAGUUUCUGGCUAAGGCCUAGGGCUUUAAAAAAAAGGUGCUUUUAGUAAAAAAAAGAAAAUGGAAAAUUCUUUAUUCCAAAGCCAAAGCAAUGGUUCAUGGCCUCCUUCUGAGCAGUAAUAGUCCAACUCCACGAGGAAGUGGAAAUGGAAAAGAUUAGCUUGGGAAAAUAUUCUAAGGGCUGUCUGCCUGCCCAGCCACUGUCACCUAUAUACUGAGCCACCUUCUCUGGUCCUUACAAGCACAGAAAAAUGGAUCUGUGGCAGUCAUGGUUCCUGGACUUCUAGAAAUGACUAUAUUCCAGGAGAUGCAGAAAUGCUACUGAACAUGGAUGUGCAGCACCACAGAAAACCUAUGUGGGAUCCUGAUCACCAGUGGAAGCCCGGCUCCUUAGAGAGCUAAGAUGGAACAAAGAAAAUUCCCAGGCCCGGGAACCACCAGAGGUACUACCUUAUUUGCUCAAAAGGUAGGUUAUGCCCAUAAGGGGCAGACCACGCAUGGCUCUACCUCUCUCUCUCUCUCUACACACACACACACUCUCUCUCUCUCUCUCUCUCUCCUGCUUUUAUUGUGCCAUUUUGGAUCUGUAGGAACUUGGGCUUGAAGAGCUACAUGAUCUGAAAUUCAGCAUGUAUCAGCUAGUAGGUUUAGGUUAUGUCCCGAGAGGGAUGUGCCUCCAGGUGGCUGUGACCUCACUUUCACAGUUCAUGCAGAGGAAAGUCAUCCUUGUGGUCCUGGGAGAGCUGGUCUGUUGCUGCCCAGGUUUGCCUGCACUGCCAGCAUGGCUCUCACAGCCCCCCAAAUUGUUUUCCUCUGAAAGGUUCAAAUCUUGACUCUGAAACAGACCUCAUAAUGAAACACCUAUGGGAAAAGUCUAUUCUCUGGCCUCUUUCCUGAGCUCAAUAAUGUUUAAUUUUUAAAAGCGGGGGAGGGAGGGAGGGAAAGAAGAAGUCUCUGAUAUUUCUCCAGUGCACUUGGCUCUCAUAGAUGGCCUUGGCCAAAACUCACCACCAGCGAUUGUGCCAGAACACCUGGUUUGAAUUCUGGCUGCCAUGCUGCUUCAUUUAAUGAGAUGGUCCCAACUUACUUUACUAUUUAAAAAGAAUUUGAGGCCAGAUGCAGUGGCUCAUGCUUUUAAUCUCAGCACUUUAGGAGGCCGAGGUGGGCUGAUCAUGAGGUC
rnacentral:lncRNA from 10 species